rnacentral:rRNA from 1 species
GUAGGGAAUCUUGCGCAAUGGGCGAAAGCCUGACGCAGCCAUGUCGCGUGAAUGAUGAAGGUCUUAGGAUUGUAAAAUUCUUUCACCGGGGACGAUAAUGACGGUACCCGGAGAAGAAGCCCCGGCUAACUUCGUGCCAGCAGCCGCGGUAAUACGAAGGGGGCUAGCGUUGCUCGGAAUUACUGGGCGUAAAGGGAGCGUAGGCGGAUAGUUUAGUCAGAGGUGAAAGCCCAGGGCUCAACCUUGGAAUUGCCUUUGAUACUGGCUAUCUUGAGUAUGGAAGAGGUAUGUGGAACUCCGAGUGUAGAGGUGAAAUUCGUAGAUAUUCGGAAGAACACCAGUGGCGAAGGCGACAUACUGGUCCAUUACUGACGCUGAGGCUCGAAAGCGUGGGGAGCAAACAGGAUUAGAAACCCUUGUAGUCC